rnacentral:lncRNA from 10 species
CCGCCGGCAGCGGCCGGGACCCACCGCUCAUUACGACAUCUUCCUCCCUGGCCUCCGCCGCCUCCGCCGCCACCGAGAGCCUGACACCGCCCGCCAAGCAACCGCCAAUCCCGGAGCCCGCCACCGCCCGAGCGACGGCAGCCUUCACCAAUAAGCGCUUGGAACAUUGGGGACCGACAGCACUAUUAACCAAUCAACCAGAGGCGUCUAGAGCGACGUUGAUUUGACCAAUAGGUCUGUGCAAUGUCACUGAUGGACGGUAGAGCGCACCAACCGAAAGCCAAUUGAAUAAUGAGUGACAUGUGCAUCAGCCAAUUGGAGGGAGGCAAAGUCCCGCCCGCUGGGUGGUUGAUGUACAGCAACAGGAAGCUGGAAGGGGAGGGGCUUAGCCGAAGAGUGCUUUUGUAUUGGUCGAGGUUGACCUUCCACCCACCUCUAACCCAGAGGAUGAAUGAUAGAUCUGCCCUGAAGCCAAUCAGAAGUCCUUAGGGUGAGGCCCACAAAUGCCCCAGAAAUAGCAUAUACAUUGCGCCCUAAGUCCAGUCUCGCCCAGGUGUGGCAGGAGCUUUUACCUGCUCUUCGGCAGUAGCCGGCUGCCACUCAACCCCAUGCCUGACUGAGCUGUGGUAGAAGGAUUGAGGCCAGCACAGAGGAGGAUCAGCAGGAAAUGUAAGGGUUGUCCUCAUCUAAUCCGUCAGUACCAGACAGUGAACAUCUCUCCCCCAGGAUGCUGAGGGAGGGUCCUGGAGGGAAGGAUGUGGAACUACAGCCUCUGCUCUCAAGAAGCUCAGAUCUGGGCAGGGAACAUCACAUACCAGGGCUGUCUGUCGGGGGGGUGGAGGGCUGGGGGAGGGAUAGCAUUAGGGGAAAUACCUAAUGUAAAUGACAAGUUGAUGGGUGCAGCAAACCAACAUGGCACAUGUAUACCUAUGUAACAAAUCUGCAUGUUGUGCACGUGUACCCU